UCCAAGGGAAGAGCCGUGCUCCAGCCUUUUGAAGCCAUCCCAUCCAUUAUCCUGAUCCAUUUGUUCUCCUGUUGCAUUGAUGGAAAGCAGAAGCUACAGAUAAAAUCAUGCUGAGUUUUUGAAACCCAUGUGGGCAAGGCAGAACAGCUGCACUUCCCUGUACAGCUGUACUUCAAUUCUGCUUUCAGAUAUUUAACGUGACAAGUAAGAAGACACACAAGAUGGCUUAAAAUAGGAAAAACACAGAACAGGCUCACAGCACGUUACAACACCAAGAGUGGAACAAGCAGAUACCACCCUGCUCAUGAUGCAACAGCUUCAGGACUCCAGAGCCAAGAGCCAGAGGUGACACCAACAUUAUUUACAGGCCCUCCAGGGAACAAUCCAAUCACGAGCUCUAACAGCGUUUCGGGUGGAAGAAAGUUUCCCAAAGCUCAAAGGAGAUGUGACUGUUCCCUGGAACAGAGAGAAGACUGUGCUCUGCUUUCAAGGUCAGAUUAAGGAGGGCAAAAGCUGCUCACUGGUGGCUGCAAACAGAAUAUUUGGGGCAGUGUUCUGAGAAGCUAAAUAUUUGCAUCUGUCCCUGAUGUUAAUGCUAUUUACCCUCUCCUCUGAUGACUACUGACAUGUCGCAACACAAGGGGUGGAGAACAAGUUAACACACAACCUGGAUGGUGCUUUUUCAAGGCCAUCUGGUGGAAGAAGAACAUGUGCUGUGAAAGAACUAAGGGCAGCACUGUCGAGAGCAGUGAAGUGACCUCUGAGUCCAAGGGGACUUGGUUUUCAGUGGGAUCUGAACAUUUCAGUGCCUUGCAAAACACUACACAGGGGUUUCAAAAUGUUUCCAGCUGAGCUAAUGCUUUAAAGGCUCAACUGAAACCUUCAGGUUUAGAAUAGUGAAAAUCUGCCCAGGUAAGAUGUCCAGGCAUCCCCUUGCCAAGGAUGAGAUUUAUCACGUUUGCACAGCCAAGAAGACCACCUGCUGUUUGAGGUGCUGUCAGAGGACAUUACUGGCCCUAUAAUGUAACUGUUAAUGGCUGUUCAAGCUAUUAUUGAGGCUACAAGUAGAUUUGUCAGGCAAAGGAGUGUCAGUGCCCAGGCUGUCACUGCUCACACCCACUGUUCCCUGGGAGCACUGAGAGGAGCACAGCUGGCCAAGGCUCUGUAGCAUGACCUGCACCCACCCCAGUGUCACCCUGCCUGCAACAACCCCCAGUCUGAACCCUGGUGAGCCCCUGAGGAGCCACUCCCUUACCCAGGUGAUGACCUGUACAAAGGGGGAUCCAGAAAGCUCUUCCAGUUUGAGGUAAGAAGCAGGAGCACCCACCACACGUAGUGCCCAGCUGGUUAGCAGAGAAGAAACUAUGCAAAAGCUCCUAAGAAAAUGUUAGCAAGGCCAUGGUUAGUGUGUUCAUGGACUGAGAAAGUACAAGCACAUUCUACCCACUUCCUACAAUGUGUUUAGAGCAGACACAGAGAACAGAAGUUCCCAGCCUGAGAGCUAAUAAUGCUUCCCUUAUUGGAGCAGACUAUUUUAAGGCCUGAUGCUAAAAUUAGCAGCUAGAGGUACCCGUAAUUCCAGCAAGCUCACUUUGUUUGAGGCAUCAGAGUUGGAUGUUUACUGCAUGUCUUGAUACAAAAGCUGCUGCACUGGCACCCAAGGCCACAGAGGAGAUUCUCCCACCUCCAGCACCCAGCAGGGAGGGGAAUCCCUCGGCACUCACUUGGCAGGUUAGUGUGGAUGGCAUGCUGGUGCACACUAAGCAAAGGAAUUUAGCAGUUCCAAGAGUUUCUGGAGAACCUAGUGCUCAAUCAGCUACCAAUUUCAGGGGAAUCCAGCUUUGCAAGCACCCAGUAGUGCCAGAGGAGCAACUGCCUACAGUAAUCAACACCCAGAGGAACAGGAGAAGUGUUGAGCCUUUGCUGUAAAAUCAACAGUGGUGUCCUGAUGAGGUGGCUGUGCUUGGAUCAGCUCUGGAACAGCCCAAGGUGAGCCUCGUGGAGGUAGGAAGGGCAAAUGUUAACAGUGGGAGUUACCUCUGCACAGCUUCCUGGUCCGGCUCCCCAUCGGAGCUCUCCUCGUCCACAGGGGUGACAGCUGGCACAGCCUGUGGAGAGACAAGCCACGGCUCAGGAGGACACCCAGCACGGUCCCCUCCAUGCAGGAGACACCUGAUCUUCCCAAACAAGCUUCCACAGGGGUGUGUGCUGGCUCCUCUGCAGCACCAAGGAAACCUGGCCAAGAACCCCUUCCAACAUUCCUCCCCCAGUCCAAGUGCCUGGGCAGGGCUGCUGCUGCUUGGAGAACUCAUUGACACAGAUGCACCCAGGGAGAGAGAACACGCCUGACACCGACACUGGAGGUUUCUCCAUGGCAUCAGCAAAGGACAAAGCAACCAUUACAAUGUGCCCUUGACAGACCUGCUGAACAGACCUCUGCAGGUCCAAAAAAGAAUGUUUUAAAUAAGAGACAAUAAACAACC